rnacentral:rRNA from 1 species
UACAGAGGGGGCAAGCGUUAUUCGGAAUCAUUGGGCGUAAAGCGCACGUAGGCGGUCUGUUAUGUCGGAUGUGAAAGCCCUUGGCUUAACUGAGGAAGUGCAUCCGAAACUGGCAGGCUAGAGUACUAAAGAGGGUCGCGGAAUUCCCGGUGUAGAGGUGAAAUUCGUAGAUAUCGGGAGGAACACCGGUGGCGAAGGCGGCGACCUGGGUAGAUACUGACGCUGAGGUGCGAAAGCGUGGGGAGCAAACAGG